rnacentral:rRNA from 1 species
CCUAACACAUGCAAGUCGAACGGUAACAGGAAACAGCUUGCUGUUUCGCUGACGAGUGGCGGACGGGUGAGUAAUGUCUGGGAAACUGCCUGAUGGAGGGGGAUAACUACUGGAAACGGUAGCUAAUACCGCAUAACGUCGCAAGACCAAAGAGGGGGACCUUCGGGCCUCUUGCCAUCAGAUGUGCCCAGAUGGGAUUAGCUAGUAGGUGGGGUAACGGCUCACCUAGGCGACGAUCCCUAGCUGGUCUGAGAGGAUGACCAGCCACACUGGAACUGAGACACGGUCCAGACUCCUACGGGAGGCAGCAGUGGGGAAUAUUGCACAAUGGGCGCAAGCCUGAUGCAGCCAUGCCGCGUGUAUGAAGAAGGCCUUCGGGUUGUAAAGACGUUCAGCGGGGAGGAAGGGAGUAAAGUUAAUACCUUUGCUCAUUGACGUUACCCGCAGAAGAAGCACCGGCUAACUCCGUGCCAGCAGCCGCGGUAAUACGGAGGGUGCAAGCGUUAAUCGGAAUUACUGGGCGUAAAGCGCACGCAGGCGGUUUGUUAAGUCAGAUGUGAAAUCCCCGGGCUCAACCUGGGAACUGCAUCUGAUACUGGCAAGCUUGA